UCGGAUGUGGUGUAUGGUGCACCGCCUCUCUCCGUGAGUCGGUAUAGAGGUGAAGAGGCAAGCCGGGGUUCAAUUCCCCGCAUCCGAG